AACGUACGCUGGCGGCAUGCCUAACACAUGCAAGUCGAACGAGAUCUUCGGGUCUAGUGGCGCACGGGUGCGUAACGCGUAGGAAUCUGCCCUUUGGUUCGGAAUAACAGUUGGAAACGACUGCUAAUACCGGAUGAUGACGAAAGUCCAAAGAUUUAUCGCCAGAGGAUGAGCCCGCGUAGGAUUAGCUAGUUGGUGUGGUAAAGGCGCACCAAGGCGACGAUCCUUAGCUGGUCUGAGAGGAUGAUCAGCCACACUGGGACUGAGACACGGCCCAGACUCCUACGGGAGGCAGCAGUGGGGAAUAUUGGACAAUGGGCGAAAGCCUGAUCCAGCAAUGCCGCGUGAGUGAUGAAGGCCUUAGGGUUGUAAAGCUCUUUUACCCGGGAUGAUAAUGACAGUACCGGGAGAAUAAGCUCCGGCUAACUCCGUGCCAGCCGCCGCAGUAA
rnacentral:rRNA from 1 species